rnacentral:rRNA from 1 species
AUGGCCUAUAUCACUGUGCUGCCUAAGAAAGAUACCCCGCUUGCUUUGGGCGAUUACAGACCUAUCUCCUUGGUUCACAGUAUGCCCAAGUUGGUCUCUAAGGUCUUAACAAACAGGUUUCAACGCCGAAUUCCAUAUUUGGUGCACCCUUCGCAAUCGGGUUUUUUGAAAGGUCGUUCAAUCAUUGAAAACUUUGCUCUAGCCACUGAGCUGGUUCAGACUGCUCAUAAAAGAAAGCUGUCAGUUAUCACCUUAAAACUGGACUUUCAAAAAGCCUUUGACAGUGUGAGUUGGAGUUGCCUUUUGCAGAUCUUACAAGCAAGAGGCUUCCCGUAG